UACAGAGGUCUCAAGCGUUGUUCGGAUUCAUUGGGCGUAAAGGGUGCGUAGGUGGCCGUGUAAGUCGGGUGUGAAAUCCCGGGGCUCAACCCCGGAACUGCACUCGAUACUGCGUGGCUUGAGUGCUGGAGAGGAGAUUGGAAUUUACGGUGUAGCAGUGAAAUGCGUAGAUAUCGUAAGGAAGACCAGUGGCGAAGGCGGAUCUCUGGACAGUUACUGACACUGAGGCACGAAGGCCAGGGGAGCAAGCGGG
rnacentral:rRNA from 1 species